AAAUUGAAGAGUUUGAUCAUGGCUCAGAUUGAACGCUGGCGGCAGGCCUAACACAUGCAAGUCGAACGGUAACAGGAAGCAGCUUGCUGCUUCGCUGACGAGUGGCGGACGGGUGAGUAAUGUCUGGGAAACUGCCUGAUGGAGGGGGAUAACUACUGGAAACGGUAGCUAAUACCGCAUAAUGUCGCAAGACCAAAGAGGGGGACCUUCGGGCCUCUUGCCAUCGGAUGUGCCCAGAUGGGAUUAGCUUGUUGGUGGGGUAACGGCUCACCAAGGCGACGAUCCCUAGCUGGUCUGAGAGGAUGACCAGCCACACUGGAACUGAGACACGGUCCAGACUCCUACGGGAGGCAGCAGUGGGGAAUAUUGCACAAUGGGCGCAAGCCUGAUGCAGCCAUGCCGCGUGUAUGAAGAAGGCCUUCGGGUUGUAAAGU
rnacentral:rRNA from 1 species